UACGUAGGGGGCAAGCGUUGUCCGGAGUUACUGGGCGUAAAGCGCACGCAGGCGGUCUCUUAAGUUUGGAGUGACAGUUGGUGGCUUAACUGCCAAAGUGCUUCGAAAACUGAGAGACUUGAGGGCUUCAGAGGGACACGGAAUUCCGGGUGGAGUGGUGAAAUGCGUAGAGAUCCGGAGGAACACCAGUGGCGAAGGCGGCUCACUGGACCGGUACUGACGCUGAUGCGCGAAAGCGUGGGGAGCAAACGGG
rnacentral:rRNA from 1 species